rnacentral:lncRNA from 1 species
GCGAUUCGAAAUGGCAUUCGACACUGACCCAUUUACACAAUGUGGCAUGUGGCAGCCCUGUUUCAUUUUAACCACAGCCUCAACUGGCUAAGUACUAGGUUGCAAAAGGCUGGAGCCUGCACACUGUCCCAAGUCAGAUUCUGUACUGCCCAAGCCUCCCUUAGCCUGGACAGGGCCGGAAGAGGUAAGCAAGGCCCUCCUACAUGAAACAGCAUCCCCAGCAUAGCAUUUCUAGCACACGGUCUUCCACAGGGCUCGGUUCAUUAAGCCCCACAGCAGCUCCCCCUCCCUGACACAGUUCCUAACCCAGCCUACGUGUGUGGUGACAGCGACACAGGAAGUUGUUCUCACCGCUGCAGCAGUGACACAGGAAGUUGUUCUCACCGCUGCAGCAGUGACACAGGAAGUUGUUCUCACCGCUGCAGCAGUGACACAGGAAGUUGUUCUCACCGCUGCAGCAGUGACACAGGAAGUUGUUCUCACCGCUGCAGCAGUGACACAGGAAGUUGUUCUCACCGCUGCAGCAGUGACACAGGAAGUUGUUCUCACCGCUGCAGCAGUGACACAGGAAGUUGUUCUCACCGCUGCAGCAGUGACACAGGAAGUUGUUCUCACCGCUGCAGCAGUGACACAGGAAGUUGUUCUCACCACUGCAGGUGCAGAAAACAAGCCUGAUACUCAUGACAGCCUAUGAGGGGCCAGGCACUGACUGAGCUAACAACCUGCGGAGCUGAGAGCUGGGAGCUCCAAAAACGCCAGCAGGGAAGAAGCAGUGGGACCAAAGCAACCCCUUCCUGCAUGUGCCUCCAAAAGAGACCUUUCCUUUUCUAAUAGAUGGUGUCUCGCUCUGUUGCCCGGCUGGAGUGCAGUGGCACCAUCUCAGCUCACUGCAAGCUCCGCCUCCUGGGUUCACGCCAUUCUCCUGCCUCAGCCUCCUGAGUAGCUGGGACUACAGGCGCCCGCCACCAUGCCCGGCUAAUUUUUGUAUUUUUAGUAGAGAUGGGGUUUCAGAAUGUUUGCCAGGAUGGUCUUGGUCUCUUGACCUUGUGAUCCGCGUGCCUCCCAAAGUGCUGGGAUUACAGGCAUGAGCCACUGCACCUGGCCUAUCUCCCCUUUCUAGUACUUAAAUGCUUUUUUCACUUUCUCAACCAAGGGAGUCACUUUGGUUUUCCUGCCUUUGGAAGACGUAAAAAUGAGAAUUCCAUACCUAUGGCAUAAAGUGUAUGGCAUAAAUUUGAAGAGUGAUUCUUUUUUAAAAUUACUUUUUCCCUAGUUAGAAUAAAAAUUAUUAAAUGUUGAGAUAUUUAAAGAAAAAUAAAAAUAAAUCACCUAUAACUCUUUUGGCAUAUUUCCUCCUGGGCUCUUUCCUAUGCAUGUGUAUUUCUUGCAUAGUUGAAAACACACAGCACCCUGUUUUCUCUUUCUUUUUCCACUUAGCAUUAUAUCAUGUUAAUCGCAUUCGACGUUAUUUAUUUUCUUGUUCACUGUUUUCUCUUCCUUCAGCCUAGAGGCAUCACGGGGGCAGGGAACAUGUCUCUCUUGUUUGGUGCAUUAGCUUCAGUGUGUAGCAACUUUUGGGCACACAGUAGGUACUCAAUAAAUGUUUGCUGAAUGAAUGAAUCUGUUAAAACAUUUUUUUUUACAGCAAAAUACUUCACCCUGUGAACGUGACCAUUUGUUUAACAACCUCUUAUGAUAGGUUAUGACAGAACGUUUAGUCCAGUUCCCUUUUUUGAAAUACAUAAAUCUGACAGAAAUAUUACUUGAUGCAGUCUGGAUUACUUUUUCCCAAUAGAGUCCCGAAAGUGGAACCACUGGGUCAGGUGAUACAACACGUUAAUGUCUUAUCUUGAACUGUAAACUUAUGUCUAUCAUGAACGGCAAUGCCACAUGAUCCCGCCACAGUGUUUGGUGUCCCAUGAGGCUUGACUGCAAAAUACCCAGGCGAGGGACCACAGGCCACCUGGGCAAAUCAGUUACUUGAUAAGAAUCACCCCCUCUACACAGUCCCUUCUCCAAACCACAGCCCAAGCUUAACUGAGGCAGGAGAGUCAGAUGCUUAUGGGUGACUUAGGAUAACAGACUAAGGCAGAGACACACAGGAAUGAGCUUCUUGGAGGCUUUAGUUUUCAGGAGGCAUCCACCUCCUCUCAUUGCGUCCACAGUGUCGGCCCCCCACAGCAGCAGCACUUGUGCCAGGACAGGCUCCCCAGGCCGGCCCCUCCACACUCAGUCACCCCCAAGAGGCCACAUUCUCUUUGGGAAGGUAAGCCACAUGGGUGCAGGAGAAGCAAGGAGGAAGAACAGGCAGAUGUGUCCAGGGACAACCCAGGCCAGACCAGGGUCUACACUCAACAGAACUGCCACCCAGAGGCAGUCAGAUUUUAGAAUGUUGACCCUGCUUUCGGCAAACCACUUAGCAAGAAUGUGUUAUUUACUAUUCAAGAUACUCUACAAGCCUGUUCAAGUUUACUGUUGUACAUACCCAACUAGCACCAUGAGUUCCUUAGUUUCUAAAAGGAGGGGGUCUUAAAAGAUGCCCAAUCAAAUUUUUUGCCAUCAGAUUCCUGAGCCUGUAGAAGAAUCACAAAUCCACCUGUUUAAACACUUGGGCCAGCACUGCCAGCAGGCUGCCUCCAGAUGUCAACAAUGAAGGCCAGGGAAUGUCAUUGUGAGAGGCAGAGGAUAAUCCACAGCUAGUGCCAACUGAGGCUGCCAGUAAAUGGAUUUAUCAUCAUUCACUAUCUUCAAUGCAGUAUUUCCCCUCAAUGAAUUAAAUUCAUAAUGAACAAACAGGAUUAUUCCCAUUAUGCAAAGAAAGAACCAGAAUUAAGGGGAGACUAUGGUUGAAUUUGCCAACAGGAAAGUACCAGCAAUAAUGAAGCUUUCCUAUGCCUGGCAUUUUGAGUUAAGCAUUAAAAUCCUUGUGAAGGAAAUUUACAAUUGGAGACAAAGCAAGUAGGGGUGGGGGAAAGUUCUAUUAGAUUAAGGACUCUGAGCUAAUACUUUUGGAUUCCUGGGUUUUCCUGGCUAUAGGAGAAGUUAUUAACAAUAUAGAGUUUAAUUAAUUCUCCCCCUAUGUCCCCAUACUUAAAAUAUGCAGGAAGAAAUUCCUUAAUUGAAACACAGUGAAGUAAGAGAGCCCUAGAAAAAUCACGUAAAUAUGUUUCAGUUUAAAACACCAGUGGAAGUUUCUUCCUUCUGAGAUUUGGUGAACCAGCCACCCAUGGCUAUGUUCAAGUUACAAAGGUUAAUGCAGAGGUUUGGGCGGAAGGAAUAAAAAAGCUUACUUCCAUCCAUUUAUAAAAAUAUACAAAAACACCCCUAUAAUUCACAUACUGAAUACUCCUAUAAUUUACUCCUUAAAAGGGGUGAAUUUCACAGUAUGUGAAUUAUAUCUCAAUAAAGCUAUUAUUAAAAAUACCGUGUAGGGGCCAGGCACAGUAGCUCACGCUUGUGAUCGCAGAGCUUUGGGAGGCUGAUGUGGGAGGAUCUCUUGAGGCCAGGAGUUCGAGACCAGCCUGGCAACAUAGUGAGACUCCGUUUCUACAAAAAAUAAAAUAGAAAAAUUAGCCAGGCGUGGUGGUGUGUCCUUGUAGUCCUAUCCAUUCAGGAGGCUGAGUUGGGAGGAUUGCUAGAGCCCAAGAGUUGGAGGCUGCAGUGAGCCGUGAU